ACGGAAGGCAGCAGUGGGGAAUAUUGCACAAUGGGGGAAACCCUGAUGCAGCGACGCCGCGUGAGCGAAGAAGUAUUUCGGUAUGUAAAGCUCUAUCAGCAGGGAAGAAAAUGACGGUACCUGACUAAGAAGCCCCGGCUAACUACGUGCCAGCAGCCGCGGUAAUACGUAGGGGGCAAGCGUUAUCCGGAUUUACUGGGUGUAAAGGGAGCGUAGACGGCAAGGUAAGUCUGAAGUGAAAUGCCGGGGCUCAACCCCGGAACUGCUUUGGAAACUAUCUCGCUCGAGUACCGGAGGGUAAGCGGAAUUCCUAGUGUAGCGGUGAAAUGCGUAGAUAUUAGGAGGAACACCAGUGGCGAAGGCGGCUUACUGGACGGUAACUGACGUUGAGGCUCGAAAGCGUGGGGAGCAAACAGGAUUAGAUACCCUGGUA
rnacentral:rRNA from 1 species